rnacentral:lncRNA from 1 species
GUCACCAUGUGGCAGCAACGGCCAUUUCGUGGCUAAGAAAGAGCCCCGGUGCCUGGCAACAAAGAGUACCCCUGGCUCAGGCUCUCUACACAUUAAUUCCACAGGGGCUGAACCUGGGACAUCCGAGCACCGCGGCCUCCUUCGCCCUUCGAUUGGUAACUGUCACCCCGUUGGCCUACUGGUCAUUGAGAGUGGUGGUAGCAUUCCAGCCAGAUAGCAGUUUUGCUGGUACUUGCCGGAUGUUGCUUUGACUGAGGUCUGGCAGAGCCCCCAGGGCAUCUUAUAAGCCACUCCUCACCUGAUCAGACCCACUGGGCCAGGACCUCAGGAUGCUUCCCAAGGCUGGAUCUCCUAUCUCUACCAGUGGGACAACUGACUGGAAGCUGGAAUUCAGUGCCGUCCUUCACACCAUCAGGAGGAGAAUGAUCUAUGAUUGGCUGGUGAGCACAUGCGUGUGAGAUCAAGGCUUGAAUACAUGGGUGCUGUGGUGGUUCAAAUAUGCUUGGCCCAGGGGAAGUGGCACUAUUAGGAGGUGUGGCCUUGUUGGAGUAGGUAUGGCCUUGUAGGAGGGAGUUCAUCACUGUGGGGGUGGGCUUUGAGGUCCUAUGCUCAAGCAAUGCAGAAUAUGGAAAAGAACCUCCUCCUGGCUGAUUUCAGGUCAAGAUGUAGAACUCUCAGCUCCUUCUCCAGCACCAAGUCUGCCUGGACACUGCCAUGCUUCCUGCCAUGAUGAUAAAGGACUGAACCUCUGACACUGUAAGCCAGCCCCGAUUAAAUGUUGUCCUUCAUAAGAGUUGUUUCAGCCAUGGUGUCUCUUCACAGCAAUGAAAACCUGUGCUGCCUAUGCUCAGAUAUGGUAGGACACCCUACAGGAAGGAAAUGUAACCAGGUUUAUACAUGUUUAGUGGAGGGCAGCAGCUCAGACCACAGGCUUAGGAGUUAGACUGCUAGGAUGGGCGGGCCACUCUGCAGCUGGUUAACUUUGGUUAAUGGACCUAAUCUGAUUUUGCCUCAUUUUUUUUGCCAUUAAAUUCAUGAUAAUAAUACAUUUUUCAGAGUAUUGUUGUAAGGACAGUGCUAACAACAAACUGGUUAAGUACACAAACUAUGUGACUGCCUUACCAGCUAGUUAACUCUGGUUCUGGAAGCAAAGGUACCACUCUUAUAGCUACUCUCACUCUUAAGGCUCUGGGAGAGAGGGACUUGGGGGUAGGACUAAGCGUAUCGUCUAUCCUGGAUGAGAUGGUGGGGCAGGAAUGAACGGGGUGACUCUAACAAAGAGAUGGCCUUAGUUAAAAAUUUUCUUAAACUGAAGAAAUGUGAAGUCUGAUAUAUCAUGUCCCAUAUGUGUAACGAGUUUAAUCUCUUCUCUUCUUUCAUUUUCCUCCCUUCCCCUCCUUCCCUCUUCCUUUUCCUCUGUCUUCCACUUCCUCUCCUCUCCUUGCCUCAUUUCCUUUCUUCUUCCAGCCUCCAUCAAAAGAAAACCAGGA